AUUUCGAAAAGAGUAAUGCUGGUGGUUCUGGCUUUGUUACCAGAAAUUUUACUAACUCCAAGGCUGUUGGAGAUGGUGAAGGCAUUGCUUAUUAUGGUUGGCCCACAUAAUAGGAACGACGCAACAUAAGUUGACAACAUGAAUAGGGAAAUCAUUGUUCUUUGUUUUUCACUGUUAACUAUUUAGUGAGAAAGUAGAUUGAGUUCGAUUGGUGCAGCAUG
rnacentral:ribozyme from 13 species